AUUGAACGCUGGCGGCAGGCCUAACACAUGCAAGUCGAGCGGAUGAAGGGAGCUUGCUCCUGGAUUCAGCGGCGGACGGGUGAGUAAUGCCUAGGAAUCUGCCUGGUAGUGGGGGAUAACGUCCGGAAACGGGCGCUAAUACCGCAUACGUCCUGAGGGAGAAAGUGGGGGAUCUUCGGACCUCACGCUAUCAGAUGAGCCUAGGUCGGAUUAGCUAGUUGGUGGGGUAAAGGCCUACCAAGGCGACGAUCCGUAACUGGUCUGAGAGGAUGAUCAGUCACACUGGAACUGAGACACGGUCCAGACUCCUACGGGAGGCAGCAGUGGGGAAUAUUGGACAAUGGGCGAAAGCCUGAUCCAGCCAUGCCGCGUGUGUGAAGAAGGUCUUCGGAUUGUAAAGCACUUUAACUUGGGAGGAAGGGCAGUAAGUUAAUACCUUGCUGUUUUGACGUUACCAACAGAAUAAGCACCGGCUAACUUCGUG
rnacentral:rRNA from 1 species